CUCACACUGCUCUCACACUAUGACCACUGCUCUCACACUAUGACCACCAGCUCCGCUGUCUCAAGAAGAAAUGGCACGAAGGCUCUGCCUCCAGCACGUCUCCCGGGAGCCCGGAUCAUGGAAGCCACUCUGUCACAAGGGGCUCCGUGGUAACAGGGGGGCUGGGCUCCGGCCCACCAUCAAGGGUGCAGAGAGUGGGGAGGGGCUGCCAAAAAGAUGGCAGGUGUGUGUUGGGUACGGGAGAAGGAAGGCCGUGCCCACAGCUCAGGCCCACCGUCAAACGUCACCCUGCAAGGUCACUGGGUCACAGUCAAACCGAACAGUAUAAACUGCUUCAGAAACCACUACUGCUAGGGAUGAGCACGUCUUCUAAGUGGGCUUCUGCUUCCUCCACCCCCAAAACAAGCCUGCAGUGAGGCUACUGAAAGGGUACCCCUGAACUCAAGGGUGUGCCCAGAACCCACGUGGCUGAGGAGGACUCCCCGCGCUGGCUGCCCCUCACUCUCACCCUGAGCUUGGUCCUCCCUGACUGGCUCCCUCACUUGAGCUCAGCAAGCGCUUGACCAACCUCGCUCCGGGCGCUCACAAUGAACCCACAGUGGGGACGGGGGUUCAUUCAACCUGCUUUCUCUGAGACGUCUUUUGAAAACCUCAACUGUGGCUUUCAAAAAGACUGUAAAAUCACUGUGCUCAACUUGAAGAAUAAAAUCUUCAUUUUCAACCUUAAAGUGAUACUGGAGGGAAGAUUAAAAUCGGUCAUUUUUCAAACUGAAAAACAAAAUCCACAUGUGACCCCAUCACACAACAGGUCACGCAGCCCCACCCUCCUCAGCUUCUCCUCCACCACCAGCAGCCUGUCAUUGCAAGGCCUGCCCUGGGCUGGCAGGCGCAGGGGAAGCGGGCACACCGGCUCCUCCGUCCCCAGGCUGCGUGGGCUGCUUGCUCCACCUUCUUCCCAAAUUCAAGUGGCACUGAAAGAGCAUGGGCAAGCUGGGGAUUCUGAUCCGAAACACAACCGUGGGUACUAAGCAAGGACCCCUGCCUCUUGUAUUCCCUGUAUCAAAUAAAGAUGAUCAGUAUAA